AUGGGCGCCACCAAUCAUACCUUGCAAGCGCUGCUCCCAUGGCUCCUCCUGUUCGUGCAGCAGGCCGCCGCGGCCAGCGGCGGGUGCGAGUGCACGACCGCCACGGACGGGGCGGACAAGCAGGGCGCGAUGAAGCUGAAGCUGGUCGCCAUCGCGUCCAUCCUCACCGCCGGGGCGGCUGGCGUGCUGGUGCCGGUGCUCGGCCGCUCCAUGGCCGCGCUGCGCCCCGACGGCGACAUCUUCUUCGCGGUCAAGGCGUUUGCCGCUGGCGUCAUACUUGCCACCGGCAUGGUGCACAUCCUGCCGGCGGCGUUCGACGGGCUCACCUCCCCGUGCAUCCACAAAGGCGGCGGGGACAGGAACGGCUUCCCUUUUGCCGGCCUUGUGGCCAUGUCUGCAGCCAUGGCCACAAUGGUGAUAGACUCGCUGGCUGCUGGGUACUACCGCCGGUCUCACUUCAGCAAGGCGCGCCCACUUGACAACAUUGACAUGCCCGGAGAUGAGGAAGGGAGGGCCGAUCAUCCACAUAUGCACGCGCAUGGCCAUUCACAUGGUGAGGCAAUUGUUGUCAGCUCACCGGAGGAGGCGGCGAUAGCUGACACAAUCCGGCACAGGGUGGUAUCUCAGGUUCUAGAGCUGGGAAUCUUGGUGCAUUCAGUGAUAAUUGGUGUGUCAUUAGGAGCAUCUGUGAGGCCAUCCACCAUCAAGCCUCUGGUCGGUGCCCUCAGCUUCCAUCAAUUCUUUGAAGGCAUAGGCUUGGGUGGUUGCAUUGUACAGGCUAAUUUCAAGGUAAGGGCAACCAUCAUCAUGGCAACGUUUUUCUCCCUGACCGCACCCGUGGGCAUCGUGCUAGGGAUUGCGAUUUCAUCUAGCUAUAAUGUGCAUAGCUCUACUGCCUUCAUUAUUGAGGGAGUCUUCAACUCAGCCUCGGCAGGGAUUUUGAUCUACAUGUCCCUGGUGGACCUUCUAGCAACAGAUUUCAAUAACCCAAAGCUACAGACAAAUACAAAGCUUCAGCUGAUGACAUAUCUUGCACUUUUCCUAGGUGCAGGGAUGAUGUCCAUGCUUGCCAUAUGGGCAUAG
rnacentral:rRNA from 1 species